CAUUUAUUGAGCAUCUACUACAUCCGAGAUGUUGUGCUAGGUAUGGAUUAAACCAAACUAAAAGAAGGCUCCGAGUCUAUCAGUAAGCUUGCUGACAUCGUGAAGUGGAGAGAGUGAAAUGAAGCAUCGGAUCUUCUCCUAGGCCAGUGAUGCGUGAGAGCGCUCUGCGUUCUGCAGCUUUGCAUGAAUGUCAUUUCUCCUCAUGUGUCUUCCAGAGAAAAUAUCGGGUUAUUGUUCCACUUACUGUCUAUCAAAAAUGUAGUAUUUGAGGGACUGGAUAGUUUAGGUAUAUUUUGCUAGUACAGAGAGAAUUUUCUCAUCCAAAACAAUGGGAAAUGCCAAAGCUGGAGAAGAAGCUGUAGGAAGAGAAAGCCAACAAGGGAAUUUGAAAGUCAACAACCGAUGGGUUAAAAGCCAUUGUAAGCCAGCAACCAGAGAGUUUUGAGCAAAUGCUUAAUGAAGGAGAGAAAUCAAUCACGAGGGGUUUACUGAAGGCCAGGAGCUGUGCUUGUUGCUUGCUUUUAAGGACAGGCUAGAGCUUGUUUUAUACAUGAAUGUCUUACACUUUGGAAUUCUGUGAGUACACUUCUGAUUUCACUAAUUUUAUUCUCUUUAUAGACAGAAAUGUUCAUAGGACAAUGGUUCAGCGUUGUGAAAAUCUAGAUUUUAUACAGUUGGGUUAUGAGGUUGAAAAUUAAUAAAAAAUCAGCAGUCCUUUGUAUUAGUCCUGUCACAGUCAUUCAGAAUGUAUAAAGAGACUUGUUUUGUUGUGAAGUGCUCUGGUCCUUUCCCAGAAAGAAGGAGAGGCUUCUAAUGAGCCCUUGCUAUAUGCUGGUACCAAUAUAAUGAAGGAAGAACUCAGCUGCAGGCUGGAAAAAUCAAGCACUCCAAAGCAGCCAGUGACUGGGAACUAUUCCCAGACUGCAGAUCUGUACUGCAGUCUUGAUAUGGGAAGCUUUGAAGAACUUUUGUUUACCCAAACCCCAAGCACCCUAGGAAGAGCAAUAGGGCCAUUUGGGAAAGCAAACAGCAGGAUAUUCACAAGGGCUAGGACUAGCACCCCUGCAGUUAGAGCUAACUUCCACAUUUAGCCUUUGUACUCUGCUUCUGCCAGGUAGCUAGAACUAACUUCCACAUUCCGCUUCUGUAUCCCGCUUUGCUACAUAGACAGGAAGACCCCAUAGACUAUAUAAACCCCAAGAAUCCUUUG